rnacentral:rRNA from 1 species
GUGCCAGCAGCCGCGGUAAUACGGAGGGUGCAAGCAUUAAUCGGAAUUAUUGGGCGUAAAGGGCGUGUAGGCGGAUUCGUAAGUCAGAUGUGAAAUACCGAGGCUUAACUUCGGUGCUGCAUUUGAAACUACGAACCUUGAGGAUAGACGGAGAAAGCGGAAUUCCACGUGUAGCGGUGAAAUGCGUGGAUAUGUGGAAGAACACCUGUGGCGAAAGCGGCUUUCUAGUUUAUUCCUGACGCUGAGACGCGAGAGCAAGGGGAGCAAACAGGAUUAGAUACCCUGGUAGUCCUUGCCGUAAACGAUGUAUACUUGAUGUAGUUGGACUCAACCCCGACUGUGUCGUAGCUAACGUGUUAAGUAUACCGCCUGAGGAGUACGCUCGCAAGGGUGAA